rnacentral:lncRNA from 1 species
AGCACUUAAAGAUUUGACCGUUGUUAAUUAAUAAAAUAUUAACAGUGCACAACUUUCAAUUGCAAUAAAAUAAUAAUAUUUUACAACACAAAAUAGCACACCAAAAUAAAAUUCACCAUAUAUGUAGAGCAUAUAAACAAUUCAAAGAAACAUAACUAGCUCCCCUUACUUUUUGGUUCUUACAGCACAGUUCCUAGAAAAUGCCCUAACAGUACCUUUGCACAGAGGUAAUUUCGACAGUACCUACAAGCCACCAAUUUGGUGUAGAGCAUAGAUUUUAGGGCUUGAUAGGAUAAGGAAAAUAAAAAUAACUCUACUUGCAAGGUAGAACCUUUGCAUGAGUAAAACACUAGGGUGCGGAGAAUGGAAAAUUUACCUUAUCAGUGGAGAGACGCGAAACUAAUCGGAUGGAUUGAAAGCUCUCAAUUCCGGGAACAUAGGGGCACCACCUAUUUGAAAAAGCAAUGGUAGAAAUUUGAGAAAGGGUAGAGAGAAGAUGGAGCAAGGUUUAGAAAGAAGACAGAACUUUUAAAGAACCCAACUUUUAGAGAGAUAAAAACUAACAAAUGAGUUCUAAUUUCUAAAAAAUUUCUCUCUAACGUGAGGUUGUUCCUAGCCUUAUAGGCUUGACUGUCUCACAUAAGUCCCAAUGACUUUAAAAAUUUUUAGACUCUUACAAUUUUUUAUUUCUUAUUAUUUUUUUUAUACAUACCAUUAUAAUAAUAUAACUUUUAUUCUAAAUAAUUACAAAAUUAACAUCUUUAAAAUAUCCUCUAAAUAAUAUUUUUUUUAAAAGAAUUUCUUCAAAUAAGUUCAAUAGAACAUUAUUUCUUCAAAUGGACAGAACUUUUAAGUAACUUUUUGAUGUUUGAAAUAAAAAAUCCCUUGGAAAUUCAGUUUCAUGUGGACCAAAUUCUGGAGGAUUUCUUUUAAAGGAGAAUCAAAUUCAGCAUUAAAAAUUAAAAUAAAAAAUAAUUUGAAAUAACUAAUAAAAAUACUAAGAAUAAAUUUUAAUUACUUUAAGAAAAAAAUUUAUGAAUAAAAAAACAAUAAAAGAAAAAAUUAUUUACAAAUUAAAAGGAAAUUAAAUAUUAUUAUAUUAUAAACACAAGGAAAGUAUAUUUUAAAAACUAGAAGCAUGACCCACCAGAGGCAUGCCGAUUUUACCAAGCCAAAUAUAUAAUAUUUAUUAUAUUAAUAUUUUAAUCAUUCAAAUAAAGAAGACUUUUAUAUUUUUAUAGUAUUAUUAAAUACUUUUAAACCAUUUUUUUAAUUUUUAUAAAUAUAUAUAAUUGAUAUUAUGUUAAUAAAAAGAAAAAAAAAUAUACAUUUCUCUUAUCAUAUUAUUCAAAUAAAUCCAAAUACGUUAAAGUUUCUCCUGUAUAAAACAUGUAACAAAUGCUGUCAAAAAUUUCAAAAGACAGGACACGGCGGAAUCAUUUGAAGAACUAAAAUAAUAUUUUUAAUUAAAAUUUGUUUGCUAUCAUUCUGAGAACCCUAUGCUAUCAUUGUGACAAAGAUAAUAAUGUUUACAAAAAUAAUAUUAAUUUAUAUAUAUUUAAAAGCAAGACGUGGUUGUCUUUUUCAGGAACCAUAGAACAAGAUUUUGGAAGGUGAGAUAAUUAAAUUUCUCACUCUUGGAGAAAGAAGGUUAGAUAGUAAUCAUAAUAUUUAAAAAAAAAAACACAAAACUAUUUAUUUUAAUUCUAAAUUCAUAAAAUAAAGAAAACCAGAAUAAAUAGCAAGUGAUAUCCCUGUAUCAUCACAGUAAUAAAAGGAGCAUCAGAAAAAGAAAAAACCCUGAGAAGAACAUGAGCAACAAUCCAGUUGUGCUGGUGGUACCUUAUCCAGCACAAGGACAUGUGAAUCCUUUGAUGAUCCUGUCACAGAAGUUGGUCGAGAAUGGUUGUAGAGUGGUUUUUGUGAACACAGAAUUCGACCACAAGCGAGUGGUGAGUUCGUUUGGAGAGAAACAACAACAUAGUACGAACCAGGCGAUGAAGUUGGUUUCAAUUCCUGAUGGGUUAGGAGCUGAUGAUGACAGAAACGAUCUGAGCAAGCUAUCUGAUGGUCUGCAGAACUCCAUGCCAAAAGCACUUGAGAAGCUGAUAGAAGAUAUGAACUUGAAAGGUGAUAACAGAAUCAGCUUCAUUAUUGCAGAUUUGUGCAUGGCUUGGGCGUUGGAUGUUGGAAGAAAAUUUGGGAUCAAAGGUGCAAUAGUAUGGCCUGCAUCAGCUGCUAUCUUUGCCCUGUUGUGGAGUCUUCCCUCUCUGAUUCAUGGUGGGACCAUAGAUUCUGAUGGUAAGUAUGAUGCUAUCCUUUUCAUAUUAUUUAGUUCAGAGUAAUCCUAUCAUAAAAUAUAUAAAGUUUUGUAUUUUUU